UACGUAGGUGGCAAGCGUUGUCCGGAAUUAUUGGGCGUAAAGCGCGCGCAGGUGAUUCUUUAAGUCUGAUGUGAAAGCCCACGGCUCAACCGUGGAGGGUCAUUGGAAACUGGGGAACUUGAGUGCAGAAGAGGAAAGUGGAAUUCCACGUGUAGCGGUGAAAUGCGUAGAGAUGUGGAGGAACACCAGUGGCGAAGGCGACUUUCUGGUCUGUAACUGACACUGAGGCGCGAAAGCGUGGGGAGCGAACAGG
rnacentral:rRNA from 1 species